AAAUCUGGCCCCUAGGGUCCGAGUUGUAAUUUGUAGAGGAUGCUUUUGGUGAGGUGCCGCCCGAGUUCCCUGGAACGGGACGCCACAGAGGGUGAGAGCCCCGUCUGGCUGGCCGCCGAGCCUCUGUAAAGCUCCUUCGACGAGUCGAGUAGUUUGGGAAUGCUGCUCAAAAUGGGAGGUAUAUGUCUUCUAAAGCUAAAUAUUGGCCAGAGACCGAUAGCGCACAAGUAGAGUGAUCGAAAGAUGAAAAGCACCUUGAAAAGAGGGUUAAAUAGUACGUGAAAUUGUUGAAAGGGAAGCGCUUGUGACCAGACUUGGGCGCGGCGGAUCAUCCGGGGUUCUCUCCGGUGCACUUCGCCGCGUCUGGGCCAGCAUCAGUUCGUCGCGGGGGAAAAAGGCUUCGGGAACGUGGCUCCUCCGGGAGUGUUAUAGCCCGUUGCAUAAUACCCUGCGGUGGACUGAGGACCGCGCAUCUGCAAGGAUGCUGGCG
rnacentral:rRNA from 1 species